UUGGAGGGCAAGUCUGGUGCCAGCAGCCGCGGUAAUUCCAGCUCCAAUAGCGUAUAUUAAAGUUGUUGCAGUUAAAAAGCUCGUAGUUGAAUUUCGGGAUCAAUUUAUUGGUCGUGCCAACGGUACGCACUGGUACAAUUGGUUUCUCCCUUCUGACGAAGCAUGAUGUCAUUAAUUUGAUGUCGUGAGGAAUCAGGACUGUUACUUUGAAAAAAUUAGAGUGUUUAAAGCAGGCUUUGGCUUGAAUACAUUAGCAUGGAAUAAUGAAAUAGGACGUUUGAUCUUAUUUCGUUGGUUUCUAAGAUCGACGUAAUGAUUAAUAGGGAUAGUUGGGGGCAUUAGUAUUCAAUUGUCAGAGGUGAAAUUCUUGGAUUUAUUGAAGACUAACUACUGCGAAAGCAUUUGCCAAGGAUGUUUUCAUUAAUCAAGAACGAAAGUUAGGGGAUCGAAGACGAUCAGAUACCGUCGUAGUCUUAACCAUAAACUAUGCCGACUAGGGAUCGGACGAUGUUAAUUUUUUAAUGACUCAUUCGGCGCCUUACGGGAAAC
rnacentral:rRNA from 1 species